rnacentral:rRNA from 1 species
AGCCAGACUCCUACGGGAGGCAGCAGUGGGGAAUAUUGCACAAUGGGGGAAACCCUGAUGCAGCGACGCCGCGUGGGUGAAGGAGUAUUUCGGUAUGUAAAGCCCUAUCGGCAGGGAAGAAGCAAGACGGUACCUGACUAAGAAGCCCCGGCUAACUACGUGCCAGCAGCCGCGGUAAUACGUAGGGGGCGAGCGUUAUCCGGAUUCACUGGGUGUAAAGGGAGCGUAGACGGCCAUGCAAGCCAGGGGUGAAAGCCCGGGGCCCAACCCCGGGACUGCCCUUGGAACUGCAUGGCUGGAGUGCGGGAGGGGCAGGCGGAAUUCCUGGUGUAGCGGUGAAAUGCGUAGAUAUUAGGAGGAACACCAGUGGCGAAGGCGGCUUACUGGACAGUAACUGACGUUGAGGCUCGAAAGCGUGGGGAGCAAACAGGAUUAGAUACCCGUGUAU